GCCCAGAUGAACCGCGGGAUAGCCCAGAUGAACCGCUAGAAGCUUCAGUUGCUUUCGUCACCUGAAAACAAAACGAAAGAGAGAGAAUGAGAGAUGACGACGAUGGCUGUGGGAAGCGAUGACGAUGAUGGCCGUGGGAAGCGAUGACGACGAUGGCCGUGGGAAGCGAUGGAGCUCUGGCCGUGGGAAGAGAUGGAGCUCCGACGAUGGCCGUGGGAAGAGAUGGAGCUCCGAUGAUGGCCGCAGGAAGAGAUUGAGCUCCGACAAUGGCCGUUAGAUGUCCGACAUGCGACAAUGCUUCUGGUGACCACAUCGUGUUCAAUCUGCAGCAGAGGAGCUUCUCUUCCUUUUCGUUCCACCAAAAGAAGAAUGAAAUUGCCAAAGCUGUUGAAGAGGAGCUCGAGAAGGCAAUGUCUGCUUACGGUUUUGAGAUUUUGCAAACUCUCAUCGUUGACACUGAGCCUGAUGAACAUGUCAAACAAGCCACCAGUGAGAUGUUGCCUCCUUGCACCCAGAGAAGAAGGUUGGUUCUCGUUGCAGGAGCUGAAACAGAGGCUUGUUAAGCUGAGAGAGGUGGAAGAGGCAGCAGCGCAGGGAACGAGGAAAGGGAUUGCCUUCGAUGAUCCUCAGGUCUGAUAUUCAACAAGCCAGAAAAUCACAAGCCUGUUGCUUAGUUCUUGAAUCAACGAAGCUGAGAAGAAGAGAGAGGAAGAGGAAUCAAAGGAUUCACAAGUCCUUUUGCAGGGAUUGCACGUAUACUCGUGAAAACGGCACUGCAAGCAGCAGCAAAGAAGAGAGAGAUGAGAUACUCUGAUCUGAAGAAGAUAGAGAGACUUUUUGUAAUCUUAUAAUUGUUGUGGAUGAUGAAUGAAUGUAGUUCUUUCGCUGUACUUUUGUGUUGUGUGAAACUCUCACGUUUAAUAGAGAAACCCAUUCUCACGUUUAGUUA